rnacentral:rRNA from 1 species
AUUGAACGCUGGCGGCAGGCUUAACACAUGCAAGUCGAACGGUAACAGGAGAAAGCUUGCUUUCUUGCUGACGAGUGGCGGACGGGUGAGUAAUGCUUGGGAAUCUGGCUUAUGGAGGGGGAUAACGACGGGAAACUGUCGCUAAUACCGCGUAGUGUCGAGAGAUGAAAGUGCGGGACCUUCGGGCCGCAUGCCAUAGGAUGAGCCCAAGUGGGAUUAGGUAGUUGGUGGGGUAAAGGCCUACCAAGCCGACGAUCUCUAGCUGGUCUGAGAGGAUGACCAGCCACACCGGGACUGAGACACGGCCCGGACUCCUACGGGAGGCAGCAGUGGGGAAUAUUGCGCAAUGGGGGCAACCCUGACGCAGCCAUGCCGCGUGAAUGAAGAAGGCCUUCGGGUUGUAAAGUUCUUUCGGUAUUGAGGAAGGUUGUUGUGUUAAUAGCACGACAAAUUAACUUAAAUACAGAAGAGCACC